UACGUAGGUGGCAAGCGUUAUCCGGAAUUAUUGGGCGUAAAGCGCGCGCAGGUGGUUUCUUAAGUCUGAUGUGAAAGCCCACGGCUCAACCGUGGAGGGUCAUUGGAAACUGGGAGACUUGAGUGCAGUAGAGGAGAGUGGAAUUCCAUGUGUAGCGGUGAAAUGCGUAGAUAUAUGGAGGAACACCGGUGGCGAAAGCGGCUCUCUGGACUGUAACUGACACUGAGGCUCGAAAGCGUGGGUAGCAAACAGG
rnacentral:rRNA from 1 species